rnacentral:rRNA from 1 species
GACGAAGGGGGCUAGCGUUGUUCGGAAUUACUGGGCGUAAAGCGUGCGUAGACGGUUACAUAAGUCGGGUGUGAAAGCCCCGGGCUCAACCUGGGAAUUGCAUUCGAGACUGCGUAGCUAGGGUGCGGAAGAGGGAAGCGGAAUUUCCGGUGUAGCGGUGAAAUGCGUAGAUAUCGGAAGGAACACCAGUGGCGAAAGCGGUUUCCUGGUCCAGCACCGACGUUCAGGCACGAAAGCGUGGGGAGCAAACAGG